UUUACUGGGAGAUAGCCCUCCGAAAGGAGGAUUAAUAUCCCAUAAUAAACGAGGUGGCAUCACUUUGUUUUGAAAGCUCCGGCGGUAAAGGAUGGCCAUGCGCACGAUUAGCUAGUUGGUGAGGUAACGGCUCACCAAGGCUACGAUCGUUAGGGGGCCUGAGAGGGUUAUCCCCCACACUGGUACUGAGACACGGACCAGACUCCUACGGGAGGCAGCAGUGAGGAAUAUUGCGCAAUGGAGGCAACUCUGACGCAGCCAUGCCGCGUGCAGGAAGAAGGCGCUACGCGUUGUAAACUGCUUUUAACCGGGAAGAAACCCCUCUACGUGUGGAGGGUUGACGGUACCGGAGGAAUAAGCACCGGCUAACUUCGUGCCAGCAGCCGCGGUAAUACGAAGGGUGCAAGCGUUAUCCGGAUUCAUUGGGUUUAAAGGGUGCGUAGGCGGGGCGUUAAGUCAGUGGUGAAAUCCUGCAGCUCAACUGUAGACUUGCCAUUGAUACUGGCGCUCUUGAGUGCGCUUGAAGUAAGCGGAAUGUGCCGUGUAGCGGUGAAAUGCUUAGAUAUGGCACAGAACACCAAUUGCGAAGGCAGCUUACUAACGCGAUACUGACGCUGAGCACGAAAGCGUGGGGAUCGAACAGGAUUAGAUACCCUGGUAGUCCACGCCGUAAACGAUGAUCACUCGUCAUUGGCGAUAUACGGUCAGUGACCUAGCGAAAGCGUUAAGUGAUCY
rnacentral:rRNA from 1 species